rnacentral:rRNA from 1 species
GAAAUGCGAUACGUAAUGCGAAUUGCAAGACUUCGUGAAUCAUCAAAACUUUGAACGCACUUUGUGCUUCCAGGAUAUACCUGGGAGCAUGCUUACUUGAGUGUCUGCAAACACCACUCAACCGCAGUUCCUGUGUGUUGGAUUAUGGCAUGGUUCGGUUGGCACACCAGUGCUAAGCUUGACCUAGCUUAAGUUAAGGCUUUUUCGAAUUCAUUUCGAUGUACUUGCUAUUAAAGUCUAUGGUCUGAUAUGCGAUGAACUUACCUUGGUGAGUACUGUGCAAAAUUUGGUCUAUGGAUUAGAGUGCUGGCCGACCCCAAACUGCAGCCUAUGCCUGCAGUGUAUCUCUGAUACAUUUUUUAUCAGAUCUCAAGUUAAGUAAGAAGACCCGCUGAAUUUAAGCAUAUAAUUAAGCGGAGGAAAAGAAACUAACCAGGAUUCCCCU